rnacentral:rRNA from 1 species
GGUGUAGGUGGCUUUGUAAGUCAGAUGUGAAAGCCCAGGGCUAACCCUGGAAGUGCAUUUGAUACUGCGAAGCUUGAGUGCCGGAGAGGUUAUUGGAAUUCCUGGUGUAGUGGUGAAAUACGUAGAUAUCAGGAGGAAUACCAGAGGCGAAGGCGGAUAACUGGCCGGACACUGACACUCAGACCCGAAAGCGUGGGGAUCAAACA